rnacentral:rRNA from 1 species
AAUCCUGGAAGCGUCACUAUAGUUACCACUGAGCCAAAUCCCGAGCCACAUAUCAAUCCUAAUCCUAUGUUCAGUGGGCUGUUUGUGAGCUUUCAUGCACAUAUUCAAGGGUUUCUCUCCGGUUGUAGGCCAUUUAUUGGAUUAGAUGGUUGUUUUGUCAAGCUAGCUAACAGUGCGCAAGUUUUAGCUGCUUCUGCAAGAGAUGGCAACAACAUGUUUCCUCUAGCUUUUGGAGUGGUUAAUAUAGAGGACACUGACAAUUGGACAUGGUUUUUGCAAACACUGGAGUCAGCAAUUGGACAGGGCGAGCAACAUGGUGGAUGGAAAAUCAUGUCAGAUAGGCAGAAGGGAUUACUUUCAGCACUCACAAAGAUUUUUCCACAUUGUGAACAUAGAUUUUGCAAAAGACAUGUCCUUGCAAACAUCUCCAGAGCUGGAUUCAGAGGUGAAAUCUACAAGGAAUACUUUGAUAAGGUUGUUUAUGCAUGCACUUUGAGCGAGUACAAUAUUGCCAUGGACAACUUGAAGGCUUAUGAUGUAGAAGCCUGGAAGUGGGUUAGAGCA